rnacentral:tRNA from 1 species
ACCUGGCUGGCUCAGCGGGUGGGGCAUGAGACUCCUGAUUUCGGGGUCAUGAGUUCGAGCCCCAUGUUGGGUG